rnacentral:lncRNA from 1 species
UUUAAUAAGUUAAAAUAUACCGUAGGCUACAACAUGUAUUAAAAUCAGGUAAUUGAACUGAAGAUAAUUGUUGGAAAACUGCUAGAACAACGGAAUUCGGGAGUGCCUAAUACUUUCUACCGGGUUAACAUAUAUCCUUACCCGGAUUUCUGGUUCGUUGACUGUUAAUCAGAGUCAAAUUUUCCUCGAUUCAGGAUUUAAACCGCUGACU